rnacentral:lncRNA from 1 species
GUCCAAAACUUCCAAAUUUUUAUUAUACAAUUUACUUAAAUCUAGCAAUACUGUAUGUAAUUUUUGUUCUUGAAUUGUUCAAUGAACGCGAUUAAACAGUUUAAAAAUUUUUAAUGCAAUGUAAGUAUUAAUUAAAUUAUUUGAAAAGGAUAUAUGUCAAAAUCUCUAAUGGUUACAAUAAAUCUAUCAUAUUUGAUUGCAUUAAAUUGCUCCAUCCUCAAGCUCCAUGCUACUGGAAUUGGAAGCGAAUCAAGUUUGUUCAGAAUAUUUCCCUUUUCCUCUGCAUCUUUACUGUCGCUUCCACGUACUUUGAUCCUUUUAAUUUUGCAUAAAUCAUUGAUAUUGUAUACCUUCAUCAUCUUUUAGAAAUCUUAUGUGAGGGUCAAGAACGCGAGUUGGAUGUUCUUUCUCCUAG